GACAGCAGUAGCCACGGUAAUACGAAGGGGGCUAGCGUUGCUCGGAAUGACUGGGCGUAAAGGGCGCGUAGGCGGAUUGCGCAGUCAGAUGUGAAAUUCCUGGGCUUAACCUGGGGGCUGCAUUUGAGACGCGUAGUCUAGAGUGUGAAAGAGGGUCGUGGAAUUCCCAGUGUAGAGGUGAAAUUCGUAGAUAUUAGGAAGAACACCGGUGGCGAAGGCGGCCCACUGGAUCGGUACUGACGCUGAGGUGCGAAAGCGUGGGGAGCAAACAGGAUUAGAUACCCCCGUAGUCCCUGUCUCUUAUAC
rnacentral:rRNA from 1 species